AGAACGAACGCUGGCGGCAUGCCUAACACAUGCAAGUCGAACGCGUGUAGCGAUACACGAGUGGCGGACGGGUGAGUAACGCGUGGGAACCUGCCCUGGAGUGUGGGAUAACCGAGGGAAACUUCGGCUAAUACCGCAUACGACCUGAGGGUGAAAGAUUUAUCGCUCUAGGAGGGGCCCGCGUCGGAUUAGCUAGUUGGUGGGGUAAAGGCCUACCAAGGCAGUGAUCCGUAGCUGGUCUGAGAGGAUGAUCAGCCACACUGGGACUGAGACACGGCCCAGACUCCUACGGGAGGCAGCAGUGGGGAAUAUUGGACAAUGGGGGCAACCCUGAUCCAGCAAUGCCGCGUGAGUGAUGAAGGCCUUAGGGUUGUAAAGCUCUUUCGCGCGCGACGAUGAUGACGGUAGCGCGAGAAGAACGCCCCGGCUAACGUUCGCGCCAGCAGCCGC
rnacentral:rRNA from 1 species